rnacentral:rRNA from 1 species
UCCGCAGGCGGGCAAUUAAGUCAGAGGUGAAAUCCUGCAGCUCAACUGUAGAAUUGCCUUUGAUACUGGUUAUCUUGAGUCAUUAUGAAGUGGUUAGAAUGUGUAGUGUAGCGGUGAAAUGCAUAGAUAUUACACAGAAUACCGAUUGCGAAGGCAGAUCACUAAUAAUGUACUGACACUGAGGGACGAAAGCGUGGGGAGCGAACAGGAUUAGAUACCCUGGUAGUCC